CAGACAUCAAUCCAGGCUCUCCAAAUCUUUCUGAACAAGUCUCUCAUAUUUCAAACUUCUGUACCUGUGACUAAUGGAGGAGAUCGAGUUGGAGCCCUUUUGUUUAAAUGAGUGGGAGUUGCCAGCGGGCCCUGGUCCUGGAAUCCCGUCUUCUAUCUGGUCUAAAAUAGACAAGAGUUGACUGCCAUGCAGCAUGCUGCAAGGCCCAUCUCUUUCCUCAGGCUGAGAGAUAUCAGCUACUUAGCUCAUAUCACAAUUGAACUGUGGGAGAAAUAAGGCAAGAUGGUAAUCAGAAUGAUGUGUCCAAUACCUCUUGACUUGCAAGACGAAGAAAGAAAUGCCAUAUACCAAUGGAAAGUUGAGGAUAGCCAUUUCCUAUUGACAUAUACUUCUAGCUCUGAUAGUUCAUGGGACAUAAGACUGUAAAUCUCAAAUGGGCCCAUUUGUUCCAUGGUCAUUUUUAGGACUAUAUCUAACCUAUUCCAGAAAUAUGAAUGUCCCAAACCUUGUAUCAGUGUAAUUUCCAGUCUUUGAAAAUAAUGUAUAAGAACCUCUCAUACAUUCUCUAAAAAAGUUCCUUGACUUCAGAAUUA